GGACGAACGCUGGCGGCGUGCUUAACACAUGCAAGUCACGGGGGGCUCAGCAAUGGGGCAACCGGCGAACGGGUGCGUAACACGUGAGCAACCUACCGAUUUGAGGGGGGAUAGCCGGCCCAACGGCCGGGUAAUACCGCAUACGUUCUCGAGGGGACAUCCCCAUGAGAAGAAACCUCCGGGGCAGAUCGAGGGGCUCGCGGCCUAUCAGCUAGUUGGUGAGGUAACGGCUCACCAAGGCGACGACGGGAGCUGGUCUGAGAGGAUGGCCAGCCACAUUGGGACUGAGAGACGGCCCAGACUCCUACGGGAGGCAGCAGUGGGGAAUCUUGCGCAAUGGCCGAAAGGCUGACGCAGCGACGCCGCGUGUGGGAUGAAGC
rnacentral:rRNA from 1 species